AUUGAACACUGGCGGCAUGCCUAACACAUGCAAGUCGAACGGCAGCACAGUAAAGAUUUCGGUUUUUAUGGGUGGCGAGUGGCGGACGGGUGAGUAAUGCGUAGGAAUCUGUCCUGGAGAGUAGGAUAACCCGAGGAGACUCGGGCUAAUACUGCAUGAUAUCGAGAGAUCAAAGGCAGGGGACCCUUCGGGGCCUUGCGCUCUAGGAUGAGCCUACGUCGGAUUAGCUAGUUGGUGGGGUAAAGGCCUACCAAGGCGACGAUCCGUAGCUGGUCUGAGAGGAUGACCAGCCACACUGGGACUGAGACACGGCCCAGACUCCUACGGGAGGCAGCAGUGGGGAAUCUGGGACAAUGGGGGAAACCCUGAUCCAGCGAUGCCGCGUGUGUGAAGAAGGCCUUCGGGUUGUAAAGCACUUUAGUUGGGGAAGAAAAGUAAUGAGUGAAUAACUGAUUGCUCUGACGGUACCCAAAGAAUAAGCACCGGCUAACUCUGUGCCAGCCGCCGCGGUAA
rnacentral:rRNA from 1 species